rnacentral:rRNA from 2 species
ACGCUGGCGGCGUGCUUAACACAUGCAAGUCGAACGUGAUUAAUAUGGAAAGUUCUUCGGAAAAGGAAAUAUUAUGAAAGUGGCGGACGGGUGAGUAACGCGUGAGUAACCUGCCUUAGACAAGGGGAUAGCCGAUGGAAACGUCGAUUAAUACCCUAUGAAACUGUAAGUACACAUGUAGUAAACAGUCAAAGAUUUAUCGGUCUAAGAUGGACUCGCGUCUGAUUAGCUAGUUGGUAGGGUAAAGGCCUACCAAGGCAACGAUCAGUAGCCGGCUUGAGAGAGUGACCGGCCACAUUGGGACUGAGACACGGCCCAAACUCCUACGGGAGGCAGCAGUGGGGAAUAUUGCACAAUGGAGGGAACUCUGAUGCAGCGACGCCGCGUGAACGAUGAAGGGAUUCGUCUCGUAAAGCUCUGUUCUAUGGAAAGAUAAUGACGGUACCAUAGGAGGAAGCCCCGGCUAAAUACGUGCCAGCAGCCGCGGUAAUACGUAUGGGGCGAGCGUUAUCCGGAAUUAUUGGGCGUAAAGGGUACGUAGGCGGUUUAGAAAGUCAGAUGUUAAAGCGUAGGGCCCAACCCUAUAAAGCAUCUGAAACUAAUAAACUUGAGUGAAGGAGAGGAAAGUGGAAUUCCUAGUGUAGCGGUGAAAUGCGUAGAUAUUAGGAGGAAUACCAGUGGCGAAGGCGACUUUCUGGACUUUAACUGACGCUGAGGUACGAAAGCGUGGGGAGCAAACAGGAUUAGAUACCCUGGUAGUCCACGCUGUAAACGAUGAAUGCUAGGUAUUGGGAGUCAAAUCUCAGUGCCGCAGUUAACACAUUAAGCAUUCCGCCUGGGGAGUACGGUGGCAACACUGAAACUCAAAGGAAUUGACGGGGACCCGCACAAGCAGCGGAGCAUGUGGUUUAAUUCGAUGCAACGCGAAGAACCUUACCAGGGCUUGACAUAUAGUUGAAAAAUAUAGAGAUAUAAAAUAUUCUUCGGAAGCAGCUAUACAGGUGGUGCAUGGUUGUCGUCAGCUCGUGUCGUGAGAUGUUGGGUUAAGUCCCGCAACGAGCGCAACCCUUAUACUUAGUUGCCAACAGUAAGAUGGGGACUCUAAGUAGACUGCCGAUGACAAAUCGGAGGAAGGUGGGGAUGACGUCAAAUCAUCAUGCCCUUUAUGUCCUGGGCUACACACGUGCUACAAUGGUCGGUACAAAGGGAAGCAACAUAGUGAUAUGAAGCCAACCUCAAAAAGCCGAUCCCAGUUCGGAUUGUAGGCUGCAACUCGCCUACAUGAAGCCGGAGUUGCUAGUAAUCGUGAAUCAGAAUGUCACGGUGAAUGCGUUCCCGGGUCUUGUACACACCGCCCGUCACACCAUGGGAGCUUGUAAUACCCGAAGUAGUUAAGCUAACCGCAAGGAGGCAGACUCCGAAGGUAGGACAAGUGAC